rnacentral:rRNA from 1 species
UACGAAGGGGGCUAGCGUUGCUCGGAAUCACUAGGCGUAAAGCGCACGUAGGCGGCUCGUUAAGUCGGGGGUGAAAUCCUGGAGCUCAACUCCAGAACUGCCCUCGAUACUGACGAGCUCGAGUCCGGGAGAGGUGAGUGGAACUGCGAGUGUAGAGGUGAAAUUCGUAGAUAUUCGCAAGAACACCAGUGGCGAAGGCGGCUCACUGGCCCGGUACUGACGCUGAGGUGCGAAAGCGUGGGGAGCAAACAGG